UACGGGGGGGGCUAGCGUUGUUCGGAAUUACUGGGCGUAAAGGGUGCGUAGGCGGGUUUUUAAGUCAGGGGUGAAAUCCUGGAGCUCAACUCCAGAACUGCCUUUGAUACUGAAGAUCUUGAGUCCGGGAGAGGUGAGUGGAACUGCGAGUGUAGAGGUGAAAUUCGUAGAUAUUCGCAAGAACACCAGUGGCGAAGGCGGCUCACUGGCCCGGUACUGACGCUGAGGCACGAAAGCGUGGGGAGCAAACAGG
rnacentral:rRNA from 1 species